AAGGCAGCAAUUUUUUUUCUUCUUAAUUUUGUUAAUCCUAUUCUAGGCUUGAUUGUUUGCUUUUUUUGUUUUGUUUUGUUUUAAAAUAAUAAAGUGAUUCUAAGAGAGAAAGAUUUUCUGGAGACAGAGAUUUGUUGCUAAGGAUGUGUUACUAAAUUUUGCUGAUUUUCCUUUCCAAGGUAUCUGACGGCCCAGAGUCUACACCACCGACACCUGCACCCACUUCAGGAAUUGUAGGUGCAUUAAUGGAAGUGAUGCAGAAAAGGAGCAAAGCCAUUCAUUCUUCAGAUGAAGAUGAGGAUGAAGAUGACGAAGAAGAUUUUGAGGAUGAUGAUGAAUGGGAAGACUGAUCUAUAUAUUAUAUAUAUAUUUUUAAGGUGAAAUACUAAACACUGCUUUCUGUCUAUGGAUUCUGUAAAAUUAUCAUGUAAAUGUUCUACCAAUUUGCUGUAUAUUUUUGUUGCCUUUUUUGCUUUUUUUUAUUAAUCUGUGCAAUACCUCAUUUAAUCUGUAAGGGUUUGUCAUAAUCCUCUGCAAAGCUACUCCCUGUUACUGUGUGCACGUUUACACCAGGAUGCUCACUUAAUUUGUGAAUAUUUCUCAUUCCAUCAACAAGGGAGUUUAAAUAUUAUAUGUGAGACUGACAAAAACCUUAAUGUAAUUUAGUUAUAAUGCCAGAAGGAAAACACUAUUUUCAUACCCUACUUUUUCUGUACCUAAAUUUUCUUAUUAAAAUCUAGUAUAGCACUACAUUCUUUUUUAAGUGAUGCAAACUUUAGUUUAUUUAGCCCCUUCAUUUCGAACACAUGCCACAUGAAUGUUGAAGCUGAUACAUUGCACAGUUCUCUAGACAUCACUACACUGAUGCAGUUUCUCAAAUUUUAGCAAUAUGCGCUAUGUAAAAUCACUACAGAGAUGCUAGUUGGGAAAAUGGUAACACACCUCUUACAGCAGUAUUGACUGUUACUGUACAGGUGUGGUAUUUGGAGGCUGGAAUCAUAAGGAGCCCUUGCAUACCUAUGCUUGACUGAGGUUAUUUUUGUGCUAUAGCAAAUGUGGCAGGCUCUUUUAGGCAAAAAUUUUAAAAAUAUUUUUGGUACUAUUCUGAAACAAAAGUUGUUAAGGUUUGGGGAUCUUGGAGAUAAUUUCGUUCUACAUGAACUGAAGGAGGCUAUACAUUGUGGUUACUUCAAUAUUUGGUUAAAUAUAUGGUAAAAAUCAGAACAUCAUAAAAGUGUGUGGAAUUAAGUAUUUUUAUUUUGCAGUCUGUAUAGAUUGAGGUAUUCAGAAAUACCAGACAUAAAAAUCUUACCUAUUUGGCAAAGGUAUACACUGUAAUGAUGAAACUAUUAUGCUGUUUUUUUUAAGUUUGAUAAUUUCUCAAGAUUUUUGUCAAAUGUCAGGUGAAGGGUUACAUUUUUCUUAAAAGAUUGGUGGUCCCAAUGUCAAAUUUCUUGAAAUACAAAACUGAAUGACAGAUUUUAAAAAAAAAACAAAUAAAACUUUACAACCUGCACAUUUGUUAUGUAUGCUAAAUGAUACGAUGCCUCUCUACAAUACACUAGUCUGCCUAAAGGUGGUUGUUUCAUAUUUAUAGCAUUAAUUAUCAUACCUACCUACUUUAAAGUUUAGGUAGAAAAAUUAUCUGAUUUACAUACAGACACCUAUUUUUCUCACAUUGAGUCAUACUCAGAAUGUAGUUCCAAAUGUAUUUCAUUACUAUAGUCACAAUAUCCAACUAAAAAUUAAGCUGUCUAUAAUUGUACCGACCAAAAUCUGGUGUUGGCAUGAUCUUGACAGGCUGGACCUGCAAGAUGUGGCUUGAAUUUUAACCAGUUAUCACAUAAUCUCUAGUGAUCAUGCGUCUAGUUAUCAUGAGAAAUAAUUUAAAAGGUUUUGCUGAAAGCAGUAAGUGGUGCAGUAAAACAGUUAAGUUAUUCAAAGAAUGUUACCUACCUUGCAGGAAUAAUUUAAGAACGUGGGAAAGAUUCUAGACUUUUUGUUUCUUGCAAAAACAGUGCCCUCUGCUGCUGGAAACCUUUUUCUGCUUACUCUCAUUUUUAUUGUGGCUUGAGCUCUGUGGGUCUGGUGUGGAUGAGGCUGGACAACUACUAACCAGUAAAAUUAGAAAUUUGUGCAAAUGGUAAAUAGAACAUUGUAAUUAUUUUAAGUAAUAAUAAACGUGUUCCUUUCUUUUGUUUUAGACAUUAUACAGAAUUUUUAAAAUAUCUUAGAAAUAUCUUUAAAGUAAUGCCAAUUUAAGAUCUCUGUUAACUUUGGGGCAAGGAAUUCAGGGUUUCCCCGCUGACUUUGUUAUGAUAAAGAUUUAUCAGGAGCUGCUCUGAGCAGAGGAUAUCAAUUCUUUGAAUUGGAAACGCAAUUUGAAAUACGUCAGGUGGGUAUAAAAUUUGCCAGUGAUAAUCGAGUUUAUUCUUUCUUCUUAAAGGAAAAGUAAAAGACUUUGUUGUUGUUGUUUGUUGUUGUUGCACAAAGUCUGAGUCGCUAUUGGUUGAAACACAGCAGCUGUGGAGCUCCGUCCAGCCACGAAGACUAAAUCCGCUUUAGACGUAAAGGUUGCAUGUUUCAGUCCCCCACUGCCUUGCGUUGUGGACAGCACUACACCUGUGCACAGCCUGAGGGCCUCCCACGUGUGCUCCAGCUAAAUGAUUGUCUGACAGCCUUCGCCUUUAACAAACUAGCAUGAGGCUUUUUAUAUCUGAAUGCUGCGUGAUAGUUUCAGCUAGCCACAUGCUGUAUGUAUGAGAUUCAUAAAGACUCUCAAUCAUUCACUUCCAUUUAUCAACCGAAAUUUUGUUUAGUAUGUGAAAUAUUUUUUUGAAAUGUAUAGUGAAUAGGAUGUUGCACUGGUGGCAAUUCAUCAUGGAGCAUAAUAAAAUUAAUUUGACCCAAAUAGUA